AGCGAACGCUGGCGGCAGGCCUAACACAUGCAAGUCGAACGAACCCUUCGGGGUUAGUGGCGGACGGGUGAGUAACACGUGGGAACGUGCCUUUAGGUUCGGAAUAACUCAGGGAAACUUGUGCUAAUACCGAAUGUGCCCUUCGGGGGAAAGAUUUAUCGCCUUUAGAGCGGCCCGCGUCUGAUUAGCUAGUUGGUGAGGUAAAGGCUCACCAAGGCGACGAUCAGUAGCUGGUCUGAGAGGAUGAUCAGCCACAUUGGGACUGAGACACGGCCCAAACUCCUACGGGAGGCAGCAGUGGGGAAUCUUGCGCAAUGGGCGAAAGCCUGACGCAGCCAUGCCGCGUGGAUGAUGAAGGUCUUAGGAUUGUAAAAUCCUUUCACCGGUGAAGAUAAUGACUGUAGCCGGAGAAGAAGCCCCGGCUAACUUCGUGCCAGCAGCCGCCGUAACAC
rnacentral:rRNA from 1 species